CCUACGGGAGGCAGCAGUGGGGAAUAUUGCACAAUGGGGGAAACCCUGAUGCAGCAACGCCGCGUGAGUGAAGAAGUAUUUCGGUAUGUAAAGCUCUAUCAGCAGGGAAGAGAAUGACGGUACCUGACUCAGAAGCCCCGGCUAACUACGUGCCAGCAGCCGCGGUAAUACGUAGGGGGCGAGCGUUAUCCGGAUUUACUGGGUGUAAAGGGAGCGUAGACGGUUCUGCAAGUCUGAAGUGAAAGCCCGUGGCUUAACCGCGGAACGGCUUUGGAAACUGUGGAACUGGAGUGCUGGAGAGGCAAGCGGAAUGCCUAGUGUAGCGGUGAAAUGCAUAGAGAUCACACAGAACACCGAUUGCGAAGGCAUCUCACGAAUCCGCGAUUGACGCUGAUGCACGAAAGCGUGGGUAUCAAACAGGAUUAGAUACCCGAGUAGUC
rnacentral:rRNA from 1 species